UACGGGGGAGCAAGCGUUGUUCGGAUUUACUGGGCGUAAAGGGCGCGUAGGCGGCGUGACAAGUCACUUGUGAAAUCUCCGGGCUUAACUCGGAACGGUCAAGUGAUACUGUCGUGCUAGAGUACAGAAGGGCAACUGGAAUUCUCGGUGUAGCGGUGAAAUGCGUAGAGAUCGGGAGGAACAUCCGUGGCGAAGGCGGCCAUCUGGAUCAACACUGACGCUGAGGCACGAAAGCGUGGGGAG
rnacentral:rRNA from 1 species